rnacentral:lncRNA from 1 species
CUAUCGGUCAAUCUUCUAUAGCGCCUUCUGAAUUUCGCUAUCGGUCGAUCUUCUGCCAUUCCUCAUACAAUCGGACCUCUCCAGCGGACAGUCUUUAGACAAGUUCCAUCCCGGCUUCUACAGCAAAUGACUUCCAUCUGCAGCAUCAACGUCUAAGGCACCCAACAACAGUUAACCCGUCAGCAACCUUGAAAACAUCCGAGCUUCUCUUAGAUUGCUG